UUCACGGAGAGUUUGAUCCUGGCUCAGGACGAACGCUGGCGGCGUGCUUAACACAUGCAAGUCGAACGAUGAACCGCUUUCGGGCGGGGAUUAGUGGCGAACGGGUGAGUAACACG
rnacentral:rRNA from 1 species